GAGUUUGAUCCUGGCUCAGAACGAACGUUGGCGGCGUGGAUUAGGCAUGCAAGUCGAACGAGAAAGAGGGAGCAAUCCCUUGAGUACAGUGGCGAACUGGUGAGUAACAGGUGGGUAAUGUGCCUCUUAGUGGGGGAUAACUCUUGGAAACAGGAGCUAAUACCGCAUACGGCCCAAAGAGCGUCGGCUUUUUGGGUUAAAGGAGUGAUUCGCUAAGAGAUCAGCCCGCCCCCGAUUAGCUUGUUGGUGGGGUAACGGCCUACCAAGGCUAUGAUCGGUAGCUGGUCUGAGAGGAUGGUCAGCCACACUGGGACUGAGAUACGGCCCAGACUCCUACGGGAGGCAGCAGUCUAGAGGCUUCCGCAAUGGACGAAAGUCUGACGGAGCGACGCCGCGUGCGGGAUUGAAGGCCGUAAGGUUGUAAACCGCUGUCAGCAGGAAAGAAUACCCGAAUGGCGAAUUCGGGGGUGACGGUACCUGCAGAGGAAGCCCCGGCUAACUCCGUGCCAGCAGCCGCGGUAAUACGGGGGGGGCAAACGUUGUUCGGAAUUACUGGGCGUAAAGGGUGCGUAGGCGGCUUGGUAAGUCUGGUGUAAAAUCUCCUCGCUCACCGAGGAAACUGCACUAGAUACUGCUAAGCUCGAGGGUGGGAGAGGCAGGUGGAAUUCCUGGUGUAGCGGUGGAAUGCGUAGAUAUCAGGAAGAACACUCGUGGCGAAGGCGGCCUGCUGGACCACUCCUGACGCUGAAGCACGAAAGCCAGGGGAGCGAACGGGAUUAGAUACCCCGGUAGUCCUGGCUGUAAACGGUGGACACUAGGUGUCGGGGGUAUCGACCCCUCCGGUGCCGCAGCUAACGCGUUAAGUGUCCAGCCUGGGGAGUACGACCGCAAGGUUGAAACUCAAAGGAAUUGACGGGGGCCCGCACAAGCGGUGGAGGAUGUGGUUUAAUUCGACGCAACGCGAAGAACCUUACCAGGGCUUGAACUGCACGGUAAACCCUUCGAAAGAAGGGCUGCUUCGGCGAUCGUGUAGAGGUGCUGCAUGGCUGUCGUCAGCUCGUGUCGUGAGAUGUUGGGUUAAGUCCCGCAACGAGCGCAACCCUUGUCUCUAGUUACCAGCGGUUCGGCCGGGGACUCUAGAGAGACUGCCGUCGUAAGGCGGAGGAAGGUGGGGAUGACGUCAAGUCCUCAUGGCCCUUAUGUCCU
rnacentral:rRNA from 1 species